rnacentral:rRNA from 1 species
GACGAACCGUGCGAACGUUGUUCGGAAUCACUGGGCUUAAAGGGCGCGUAGGCGGGCUGUUUAGUCCGGGGUGAAAUCUUUCGGCUUAACCGGAAAAGUGCCUUGGAUACUGGCAGUCUUGAGGGAGGUAGGGGCAGGUGGAACUUCCGGUGGAGCGGUGAAAUGCGUUGAUAUCGGAAGGAACGCCGGUGGCGAAAGCGACCUGCUGGAUCUCUUCUGACGCUGAUGCGCGAAAGCUAGGGGAGCGAACGGGA